AAGUAAGAAGCAAGAUUGCAAUCAGUUUCGACCUGAUCUUAGAUAAUUCAAUUAUCCUUACUUU
rnacentral:tRNA from 1 species